rnacentral:sRNA from 1 species
AAAAACCUCAGUAGUGCUUUCUUGCUAGAAGAUACAAAGACAAAGACUCAUACGGACUUUGGCUACAUUAUCAAAGUUUUG